rnacentral:rRNA from 1 species
GAUGAGCUCAGCCUAAUCUCUGUCACAUUUAUUUGUCGCGAAUUGUAGUCUAUAGAGGCGUGAUCAGUGUAGGCGCUGAGGUAAGUUCCCUGAAAAAGGACAGCAUGAGGGUGAAACUCCCGUCAUACUUAAGUGCUUGCACGUACCGAUUCUUUUCUUUGAGUCGCGUUGUUUGAGAAUGCAGCGCAAAGUAGGUGGUAAAUUCCAUCUAAAGCUAAAUAUUGGUGCGAGACCGAUAGCGAACAAGUACCGUGGAGGGAAAGAUGAAAAGAACUCUGGAAAAGAGAGUUAAAGAGUACCUGAAACUGCUGAAAGGGAACCAAAUCGUUUCUAGUGUCUAUAAUCUAUGACAUAUUUCAUUGGGAAGUGUGUGCGUGUGUAUACUAUGGCAGCGGCUUUUUUUAGUUGCGCUUGGUGUGCGUGCUGUAUGUACUAACUGAUGCCCUGUGUUAUAGUGGGACGUCAAGGUCAGUUUGUAUACUGCGGGAAAUGGCUACUGAGGAGGUAGGGCUUACGCUUGCGUUUGUCUGUUAUAUCUUGGUAGUUGUGUCGUGGUUGAGACUGAGGUGUUCUACAACGUGCUUAUGAGUGGGUCUACGUCUCCGUGUGCGCCGUGUGCAGAUAGCUUGCUAUGUGUAUGUGGUGGUGUGUGGAUUGAUAUGGGCUUUAUCUUACU